rnacentral:tRNA from 2 species
GGCAAAGUGCCAGAGUGGUUAAUGGGUGGCACUCGAAAUGCCAUGUCUUCGGACGCGCAGGUUCAAAUCCUGUCUUUGUCG